UAGAGCCCNACCUGCCCAGUGAAAUAUAUUUAAACGGCUGCGGUAUCCUGACCGUACAAAGGUAGCAUAAUAAUUUGCCUUUUAAUUAAAGGAUAGUAUGAAUGGUCUUACAAGAAUAUAACUGUCUCUAUAUAAUUUAAUAAAACUUGAUUUUUAGGUGCAAAAGCCUAAAUAAAAUUGAAAGACAAGAAGACCCUGUCGAGCUAUAAAAAACUAUUUAUAUAUCAUAAUACAUAUUUAUAAAUCACAUGGUUAUUAAAUAAUAUUUUAGUUGGGGCAACUAAAGAACAAAAAGCUUCUUUUAUAAUAUUCAAAUUAUCAAAUAUUGACCCAAAAAUUUUGGUUAUAGAAAUUAGUUACCGCAGGGAUAACAGCAUAAUUUUUUUUAAGAGAUCUUAUCGAAAAAAAAGUUUGUGACCUCGAUGUUGGACCAAAAUAUCCNAAAGGUGUAGAAGCCUUUAAUGGUUGGUCUGUUCGACCAUUAAAAUUUUA
rnacentral:rRNA from 1 species